rnacentral:tRNA from 1 species
GCUAAUUAAGCUUUUGGGCCCAUACCCCAAACACGUUGGUGAAACCCCUUCUCUUGCUA